GUCUACGGCCAUACUACCCUGAACACACCCGAUCUUGUCUGAUCUCGGAAGCUAAGCAGGGUCAGGCCUGGUUAGUACUUGGAUGGGAAACGGCCUGCCAGUCUGAUUUCCCACAAUGC
rnacentral:rRNA from 1 species